rnacentral:rRNA from 1 species
AACACGUGGAUAAUCUACCCGACAGUCAGGGAUAACAUUUCGAAAGGAAUGCUAAUACCUGAUAAGCCUACGCCCUCUUCGGAGGAAGUAGGAGAAGGUGGGGACCUUCGGGCCUGCCGUUGUUGGAUGAGUCCGCGGCCCAUUAGCUAGUUGGUAGGGUAAUGGCCUACCAAGGCUACGAUGGGUAGCUGGUCUGAGAGGAUGAUCAGCCACACUGGAACUGAGACACGGUCCAG